rnacentral:rRNA from 1 species
AACGAACGCUGGCGGCAUGCCUAACACAUGCAAGUCGAACGAGACCUUCGGGUCUAGUGGCGCACGGGUGCGUAACGCGUGGGAAUCUGCCCUUGGGUACGGAAUAACAGUUAGAAAUGACUGCUAAUACCGUAUAAUGACUUCGGUCCAAAGAUUUAUCGCCCAAGGAUGAGCCCGCGUAGGAUUAGCUUGUUGGUGAGGUAAAAGCUCACCAAGGCGACGAUCCUUAGCUGGUCUGAGAGGAUGAUCAGCCACACUGGGACUGAGACACGGCCCAGACUCCUACGGGAGGCAGCAGUGGGGAAUAUUGGACAAUGGGCGAAAGCCUGAUCCAGCAAUGCCGCGUGAGUGAUGAAGGCCUUAGGGUUGUAAAGCUCUUUUGCCCGGGAUGAUAAUGACAGUACCGGGAGAAUAAGCUCCGGCUAACUCCGU